rnacentral:piRNA from 1 species
UGCCACUGUUGUAGAACCUUCACUGUCGCA